rnacentral:snRNA from 1 species
UACCACUGGGCCAACAACACGU